rnacentral:rRNA from 1 species
UACGUAGGUGGCAAGCGUUGUCCGGAAUUAUUGGGCGUAAAGCGUGCGUAGGCGGUCUAUUAAGUCUCAUUUGAAAGCCCAUGGCUUAACCAUGGAGGGUGAUGGGAAACUGGUAGACUUGAGUAAAGGAGAGGAAGGUGGAAUUCCACGUGUAGCGGUGAAAUGCGUAGAGAUGUGGAGGAACACCAGUGGCGAAGGCGGCCUUCUGGCCUUAGUCUGACGCUGAGGCACGAAAGCGUGGGUAGCAAACAGGAUUAGAUACCCUGGUAGUCCACGCCGUAAACGAUGAGUACUAAGUGUAGGGGAAACUCUGCGCUGAAGUUAACGCAUUAAGUACUCCGCCUGGGAAGUACGGUCGCAAGACUGAA